ACGGGAAGAGCCCAAACCAACAAGCUUGCUUGUUGGGGUUGUAGGACACUCUAUACGGAGUUACAAAGGACGACAUUAGACGAAUCAUCUGGAAAGAUGAAUCAAAGAAGGUAAUAAUCCUGUAGUCGAAAAUGUUGUCUCUCUUGAGUGGAUCCUGAGUACGACGGAGCACGUGAAAUUCCGUCGGAAUCUGGGAGGACCAUCUCCUAAGGCUAAAUACUCUCUAGUGACCGAUAGUGAACCAGUACCGUGAGGGAAAGGUGAAAAGCACCCCGGAAGGGGAGUGAAAUAGAACCUGAAACCGUGUGCUUACAAGUAGUCAGAGCCCGUUAAUGGGUGAUGGCGUGCCUUUUGUAGAAUGAACCGGCGAGUUACGAUUUGAUGCAAGGUUAAGCAGUAAAUGUGGAGCCGUAGCGAAAGCGAGUCUGAAUAGGGCGUUUAGUAUUUGGUCGUAGACCCGAAACCAGGUGAUCUACCCUUGGUCAGGUUGAAGUUCAGGUAACACUGAAUGGAGGACCGAACCGACUUACGUUGAAAAGUGAGCGGAUGAACUGAGGGUAGCGGAGAAAUUCCAAUCGAACCUGGAGAUAGCUGGUUCUCUCCGAAAUAGCUUUAGGGCUAGCCUCAAGUGAUGAUUAUUGGAGGUAGAGCACUGUUUGGACGAGGGGCCCCUCUCGGGUUACCGAAUUCAGACAAACUCCGAAUGCCAAUUAAUUUAACUUGGGAGUCAGAACAUGGGUGAUAAGGUCCGUGUUCGAAAGGGAAACAGCCCAGACCACCAGCUAAGGUCCCAAAAUAUAUGUUAAGUGGAAAAGGAUGUGGCGUUGCCCAGACAACUAGGAUGUUGGCUUAGAAGCAGCCAUCAUUUAAAGAGUGCGUAAUAGCUCACUAGUCGAGUGACACUGCGCCGAAAAUGUACCGGGGCUAAACAUAUUACCGAAGCUGUGGAUUGUCCUUUGGACAAUGGUAGGAGAGCGUUCUAAGGGCGUUGAAGCAUGAUCGUAAGGACAUGUGGAGCGCUUAGAAGUGAGAAUGCCGGUGUGAGUAGCGAAAGACGGGUGAGAAUCCCGUCCACCGAUUGACUAAGGUUUCCAGAGGAAGGCUCGUCCGCUCUGGGUUAGUCGGGUCCUAAGCUGAGGCCGACAGGCGUAGGCGAUGGAUAACAGGUUGAUAUUCCUGUACCACCUAUAAUCGUUUUAAUCGAUGGGGGGACGCAGUAGGAUAGGCGAAGCGUGCGAUUGGAUUGCACGUCUAAGCAGUAAGGCUGAGUAUUAGGCAAAUCCGGUACUCGUUAAGGCUGAGCUGUGAUGGGGAGAAGACAUUGUGUCUUCGAGUCGUUGAUUUCACACUGCCGAGAAAAGCCUCUAGAUAGAAAAUAGGUGCCCGUACCGCAAACCGACACAGGUAGUCAAGAUGAGAAUUCUAAGGUGAGCGAGCGAACUCUCGUUAAGGAACUCGGCAAAAUGACCCCGUAACUUCGGGAGAAGGGGUGCUCUUUAGGGUUAACGCCCAGAAGAGCCGCAGUGAAUAGGCCCAAGCGACUGUUUAUCAAAAACACAGGUCUCUGCUAAACCGUAAGGUGAUGUAUAGGGGCUGACGCCUGCCCGGUGCUGGAAGGUUAAGAGGAGUGGUUAGCUUCUGCGAAGCUACGAAUCGAAGCCCCAGUAAACGGCGGCCGUAACUAUAACGGUCCUAAGGUAGCGAAAUUCCUUGUCGGGUAAGUUCCGACCCGCACGAAAGGCGUAACGAUUUGGGCACUGUCUCAACGAGAGACUCGGUGAAAUCAUAGUACCUGUGAAGAUGCAGGUUACCCGCGACAGGACGGAAAGACCCCGUGGAGCUUUACUGUAGCCUGAUAUUGAAAUUCGGCACAGCUUGUACAGGAUAGGUAGGAGCCUUUGAAACGUGAGCGCUAGCUUACGUGGAGGCGCUGGUGGGAUACUACCCUAGCUGUGUUGGCUUUCUAACCCGCACCACUUAUCGUGGUGGGAGACAGUGUCAGGCGGGCAGUUUGACUGGGGCGGUCGCCUCCUAAAAGGUAACGGAGGCGCUCAAAGGUUCCCUCAGAAUGGUUGGAAAUCAUUCAUAGAGUGUAAAGGCAUAAGGGAGCUUGACUGCGAGACCUACAAGUCGAGCAGGGUCGAAAGACGGACUUAGUGAUCCGGUGGUUCCGCAUGGAAGGGCCAUCGCUCAACGGAUAAAAGCUACCCCGGGGAUAACAGGCUUAUCUCCCCCAAGAGUUCACAUCGACGGGGAGGUUUGGCACCUCGAUGUCGGCUCAUCGCAUCCUGGGGCUGUAGUCGGUCCCAAGGGUUGGGCUGUUCGCCCAUUAAAGCGGUACGCGAGCUGGGUUCAGAACGUCGUGAGACAGUUCGGUCCCUAUCCGUCGUGGGCGUAGGAAAUUUGAGAGGAGCUGUCCUUAGUACGAGAGGACCGGGAUGGACAUACCUCUGGUGUACCAGUUGUCGUGCCAACGGCAUAGCUGGGUAGCUAUGUGUGGACGGGAUAAGUGCUGAAAGCAUCUAAGCAUGAAGCCCCCCUCAAGAUGAGAUUUCCCAACUUCGGUUAUAAGAUCCCUCAAAGAUGAUGAGGUUAAUAGGUUCGAGCUGGAAGCAUGGUGACAUGUGGAGCUGACGAAUACUAAUCGAUCGAAGACUUAAUCAA
rnacentral:rRNA from 1 species